UUGAUCAAAUGCUUGUAUAAGAAGAACAAAAACUAGUAAGGGUUGGCUAUUGCUGCCCCCACUUGAACUAAAAACAACAUCCACAAAAAAAAGACAGAACAUGGUGGACAUGACAUAUUCACAACUAUUUAAAAGUAGACCAAGUAAAUAUUGUAAUGAGAUCCUAAUUACUGGGUGAUCUGUGAUCCCUGAAGAAGUCCAUCACGAAUUUGGGUUGCAACAUCACGAACAGCACCAGGUCCAUGAGGGAUAAAAACAGCAGAUGAUUUAGAGGAAGCACCAAUCUCCUUCAUGGUGUCAAAAUAU